CUGCAGUAGCAAUGCACUGUGAAUAACAGUACAACUCGAAGAGACAGGGCUCCCUGAUUAGUACUCGGCGAGCAGGAAGAUGAAAGCCAUUUGCAGCAGCCAGGCUAUGGAGACGGGCGGAGUGGAUGCCCAAGCUCCCACCACUGACUUCCGGUGGGACCAGAGUCAAAAACAGGAAGAAAAGCAGCCCAGGAAAUCUUUCGCAUGAUCCUCUAGGUAGUAAUUGACAUUUCAAAUGCAAGAAUGCUUUUUAUUGUUAGUCAAGGAAGG
rnacentral:lncRNA from 1 species